rnacentral:rRNA from 1 species
UGAGGAAUAUUGGUCAAUGGACGCAAGUCUGAACCAGCCAAGUAGCGUGCAGGAUGACGGCCCUAUGGGUUGUAAACUGCUUUUAUAUGGGGAUAAAGUGGGGAACGUGUUCCCUUUUGCAGGUACCAUAUGAAUAAGGACCGGCUAAUUCCGUGCCAGCAGCCGCGGUAAUACGUAGGGGGCUAGCGUUAUCCGGAUUUACUGGGCGUAAAGGGUGCGUAGGUGGUCUUUCAAGUCGGUGGUUAAAGGCUACGGCUCAACCGUAGUUAGCCUCCGAAACUGGAAGACUUGAGUGCAGGAGAGGAAAGUGGAAUUCCCAGUGUAGCGGUGAAAUGCGUAGAUAUUGGGAGGAACACCAGUAGCGAAGGCGGCUUUCUGGACUGCAACUGACACUGAGGCACGAAAGCGUGGGUAGCAAACAGG